rnacentral:rRNA from 1 species
CAGCUUGACUGCGAGCGUGACGGCGCGAGCAGGUGCGAAAGCAGGUCAUAGUGAUCCGGUGGUUCUGAAUGGAAGGGCCAUCGCUCAACGGAUAAAAGGUACUCCGGGGAUAACAGGCUGAUACCGCCCAAGAGUUCAUAUCGACGGCGGUGUUUGGCACCUCGAUGUCGGCUCAUCACAUCCUGGGGCUGAAGUAGGUCCCAAGGGUAUGGCUGUUCGCCAUUUAAAGUGGUACGCGAGCUGGGUUUAGAACGUCGUGAGACAGUUCGGUCCCUAUCUGCCGUGGGCGCUGGAGAACUGAGGGGGGCUGCUCCUAGUACGAGAGGACCGGAGUGGACGCAUCACUGGUGUUCGGGUUGUCAUGCCAAUGGCACUGCCCGGUAGCUAAAUGCGGAAGAGAUAAGUGCUGAAAGCAUCUAAGCACGAAACUUGCCCCGAGAUGAGUUCUCCCUGAGACUUAGAGUCUCCUGAAGGAACGUUGAAGACGACGACGUUGAUAGGCCGGGUGUGUAAGCGCAGCGAUGCGUUGAGCUAACCGGUACUAAUGAACCGUGAGGCUUAACCUUACAACGCCGAAG